rnacentral:rRNA from 1 species
ACACUCCUACGGGAGGCAGCAGUGGGGAAUUUUGGACAAUGGGGGCAACCCUGAUCCAGCAAUGCCGCGUGAGUGAAGAAGGCCUUCGGGUUGUAAAGCUCUUUUGUCAGGGAAGAAACGGUAGUAGCGAAUAACUAUUACUAAUGACGGUACCUGAAGAAUAAGCACCGGCUAACUACGUGCCAGCAGCCGCGGUAAUACGUAGGGUGCAAGCGUUAAUCGGAAUUACUGGGCGUAAAGCGUACGCAGGCGGUUGUGUAAGUCAGAUGUGAAAUCCCCGGGCUCAACCUGGGAAUUGCAUUUGAGACUGCACGGCUAGAGUGUGUCAGAGGGGGGUAGAAUUCCACGUGUAGCAGUGAAAUGCGUAGAUAUGUGGAGGAAUACCGAUGGCGAAGGCAGCCCCCUGGGAUAACACUGACGCUCAUGCACGAAAGCGUGGGGAGCAAACAGGAUUAGAAACCCCUGUAGUCCCAUGAU